UACGUAGGGACCAAGCGUUGUUCGGAUUUACUGGGCGUAAAGGGCGCGUAGGCGGCAAUUCAAGUCAUCUGUGAAAUCUCUGGGCUUAACUCGGAACGGUCAGAUGAUACUGCUUUGCUAGAGUGCGGAAGGGGCAAUCGGAAUUCUUGGUGUAGCGGUGAAAUGCGUAGAUAUCAAGAGGAACACCUGAGGUGAAGACGGGUUGCUGGGCCGACACUGACGCUGAUAGCGCGAAAGCCAGGGGAGCAAACGGGG
rnacentral:rRNA from 1 species